UCAUACACCUGGGGUACAUACAUAUGUGCAAAACACUCAUACACACAAAGUAAAAUAAGUAAAUCUAAAAUUAAAAAAUACUGUUAGUAUUUACAUUGUAUUUGGUAUUAAAAGUAAAACAGAGGAUUUAAAGUAUGUAGGAUGAGACUGGGGAUGUAUCUCAGAUGUCAGAAUAGCAUGGAUGAAGCCCUGGGUUAGGUCUCUAGUGCAGCAUAAACUGGGUAUGAUGGCACACACCUCUAAUCCCAUCACUUGCAGGUGGAGAUGGGAGAACCAGAGGUUCAAACUCAUUCUCAGCUGCUUAAGAGGUCCAAGGCCUGCCUAGGCUGGAGACAGAUCCCACCUCACACACACACAGACACACACACACAUCACUGGGAGGAUAUGGGUAAGCUAUAUGCAAAUAUCCCAUUUUAGCUAAAGAACUUGAGUGUCUGUGCAUUUGGUGUUGGUGGUAGUUUGAAUAAAAAUUUGAAUGUUUGCUUCCCAGUUGCUGGACAGAUUAGGAAGGAUUAGGAGGUGUGGCCUUACUGGAGAAGGAGUGUCACUUAGGGUGACCUUUGAAGUUUCAAAGGCCCAGGCCAAGGCAGAUCUCAUUCACUCUUUGCCUCCAAUUAACCACUUUCUUUUGUAAGAGCGGCCACUGGUCAUGGUGUUUGUUCACAGCAAUAGGAAAAUACAAAAGACCAGGCCCAUGUGAAGAGUCGAUGCCUUGCUAGCAAGAUUCUUCUAAGUGCCUGUUUCAGUGAAAACACUUAAAACCCAGUCUUCUGAAUCUUUACCUGCCCUUUCUCAAUCCACGCUCCCCAUCUCAGGAACGAAUGGGGCAAGUCGGCUGGAUCCAGCUGAAGUCGGGUUCCUACAGUGAUCAACUGCUGAUGGAAAGAAGGCACAUGGGCCUAAAGAAGGGAGAUCGCUGACAAGAAAUCAGUGCAGUGCCUGGGCAGGACAAGUUCCUGAAUCCAUGUUAGAAAUCAGCAAGCAAGCAAGCAGAGUUGCGACUACCACAGAAAGGAAGGUGGAUGCUGCUAGAUAACCAAAAUGCCACAAGAAGGCUAGGAAAGGUGGCUGUUCCAGGCUUCUAGUGCUUCAGUAAAGCACCGUGACAAAAACAAUGCAACUUAAGACGUCACAAGAAGGCGAGGAAAGGUGGCUGUUACAGGGCUUCUAGUGCUUCAGUAAAGCACCAUGACAAAAACAAUGCAACUUAAGGAAGAAAGGGUUUAUUUCAGCUUACACUCCAUUUCAGGUCACACUUCAUUAUGGAGGGAAGUCAGGACAGGAACCUGUAGGCAGCUGAAGCAGAAGCCAUAAAAGAAUGCUGUUUACACGACUUUUCACCUGUAGGCAGCUGAAAGAGAAUCCGUAAAAGCAUGCUGUUUACAUGACUUUUUCAUCCUGCUUUUUAAAACCAUCUAGGCACCCCGACCCCCCCUCCACACACACACACAGUGAGUUUAUCCUCUGUUACACUUUGGCCCUGCCUCUUGGGAACCUGGCACAGCCCUCACCCCUCUGCCAAUGGCAAGCAGUACCCUGACUCUGUACACAGUGCAAAGAUCCCUUUAAGUGACCAUCCCCGCCUACUUCCCCUCUCUUCUUCUGCCUUUUCUCUGAGGAAGCAGGUCACUGUCUCUGUCUCUGUCUCUCUCUCCUCCCUUCUCCCAGUAAACUCUCCACACAAGUCCUGCCUGAUGGCACAUUUGUCUUCCGCCUGCCACGGAACCCACUGAAGGUCCCACCUUGCACCAUAUUCGUAACACCCUCCCAAAUCAACCAUCAAGAAAAUUCACUACAGAGUUGCCCACAAAGUCAUGCGUGGUAGUACACGCCAUUAAUCCCAGCGCACAUGGGAGACAGAGGCAGGUGGAUCUCUAUGAGUUCAAGGUCAGCCUGGUCUACAUAGUGAGUUCAAGGACAUCCAGGGCUACACAGUGAGACCCUGUCUUGAAAAAGAAAAAACAAAACUAGAGUUACAGACAAAUCUUAUGGAGGCAUUUUCUCAAGUCUUUCCAGUGACUCGAGUGUGUGUCAAACCGACCUAAAAUUAACCAACAUGGUGGCACACACCUUUAAUCUCAGCACCUGUUGGGCAGAGGCUGGUAGGUCUCUUAGUAGUUCCAUACUAGUUUCUGUGUGUGUGUGUGUGUGUGUGUGUGUGUGUGUGUGUGUGUGUGUGUGUGUGUGUGUGUAUGUGUGUUGGGGGGCAGUAAAGAAACCAAUGAAAUGGCUGCUCCAGUGAGGGGUGGUUUGUUUUUCGUGUGUGUAUGACAAUUUCUCUGUGUUACCCUGCUGACUCCAACUCAGAGACCUGCCUUCCUCUGCCUGGGCAUAUGUAAGAGAGAGAAAAUAUCCCGAGACAUCUGGAAGAGUCCAGAAUCAAAGGGAAAAUUGAACAUGGCCCGGGCUGGGAGAGCGGGAGAACAUAGUGACGACAGCAAGAGACAGAGAAAGGCAAGAGAGCAAGGGGAUACCAACAGAGGAUAGCAACAGUGUGGAGGGGAUGGCAGAGAGGAUAGUUAGACUAUGAGCCAUGAGCUGGAAGGAGUUUAGGGUAGAGGAGGAGGUAGGAAGGGCUAGGGUGGUGGCUUUGAAAUUUAUAACACGUAUUUGUAAAUAGGGACUGAAGGCCAGAGAGCAUGGGCUUUGGUAUGAAAACAGAAGUAUAUGUCAACCACGUCCCUUCUGCUAGAGGCAAGGAAAAUGACACCUUUUGGGGAUGGGGAACCCAUUUUACAAGUUCCUGAGGAAUGCUGGCCUUUAUCUAACAGCCAGAAAUGUUUCUGUAGUCCAUCUUGAGUUCACUUUUGACUAUGGGCUGCUGGAGACCUAGCAGCUUUAUCUCAAGGAAGAAACAAACAGGAAGCCGCCGUAGUGCAAAGGCUAGGUGUUUAAGAAUUUUUCUAAAGUUUUUUUAAAGAUUUAUUUAUUAUGUAUUAUAUAGUGUUCUGUCUGCAUGUAUCUCUGCAGGCCAGAAUUGGGUAACAGAUCUCUUUACAGAUGGUUAUGAGCGAUCAUGUGGUUGCUGGGAAUUGAACUCAGGACCUCUGGAAGACCAGCCAGUGAUCUUAACCACUGUGCCAUCUCUCUAGCACCUCUAAAGUUUGACUUACUCCCAUAACUGAAAAUCCAGAGAAAUGAGUUUCAGGUGUAGCUGGAUCUAGGUCAUACAAAUAUGUCCCCUCUCAUUGGGCUCUUCAUCUACCUGGUAACUCUUAGCAGUCAAACAAAAACCUAGGCUUGGUCCACAUGCCCACCACUAGAGUAGUCACUUAGGGAGUAUCCCUAAAUCUUCCUCCAUAAUAAUUGAGAAUAGAGUCAGGCAUUGACAUACACCUUUAAUGCCAGUACUUUGGAGGCAGAGGCAGGUGAUCUCUGAGUUCAGAGCCAGCCUGGCCUACAGAGUGAGUUCCAGGACAGUCAGGAUUAUACAGAGAAACAUUGUCUCAAAAACAACAACAGAGUUAAGAACAGAAAGGGAUCACUUUCAGGAACUUUGUAGCCUGCAUUUCUGCAGGAGCUUGGUGUCUGGAUGCUGGGAAACAAAACAGCAGCUUAGAACCAGCACUUUGGAGACAAUGUCCUAAGUGUCAGCUCUGGAAAGCUACAAGCUUGUAGUUACUGCUAAGAUGUUUAACAAUAGACAAGAACUUCCACACACUCAAUCCAACCAUGAAUUCAAGUAUUUGGCGGCUAGAGAGAUUGCUCAGUGGUUAGGCAUACUUGUGUUUGCAAAGGACCCAAUUCUAGUCUCAGCACCCACAAGGCAGCCUUAACUCCAUCCUGGGGGAGCCAAUGGCUGGUGGAUCUCUGUGAACUUGAGGCCAGCCUGACCUAGUAGCAAGUUCCAGGUUAGUCAGGGCUCCACAGUGAGAGCCUUCUCAAAAAAAGCUGAUAAAGCCGGGCGUUGGUGGCACACGCCUUUAAUCCCAGCACUCGGGAGGCAGAGGCAGGCGGAUCUCUGUGAGUUCGAGGCCAGCCUGGUCUACAGAGCGAGUUCCAGGACAG